AUUGAACGCUGGCGGCAUGCCUUACACAUGCAAGUCGAACGGCGGCACGGGAGCAAUCCUGGUGGCGAGUGGCGAACGGGUGAGUAAUAUAUCGGAACGUGCCCAGUCGUGGGGGAUAACGUAGCGAAAGCUACGCUAAUACCGCAUACGAUCUAUGGAUGAAAGCGGGGGAUCGCAAGACCUCGCGCGAUUGGAGCGGCCGAUAUCAGAUUAGGUAGUUGGUGAGGUAAAGGCUCACCAAGCCGACGAUCUGUAGCUGGUCUGAGAGGACGACCAGCCACACUGGGACUGAGACACGGCCCAGACUCCUACGGGAGGCAGCAGUGGGGAAUUUUGGACAAUGGGCGCAAGCCUGAUCCAGCAAUGCCGCGUGCAGGAUGAAGGCCU
rnacentral:rRNA from 1 species